CUCCGGUGAUCCCCGCCGGACCCGACUGCUAUCAGAGUGGGACUAAGCCAUGCGAGUCAACGUAGCAAUACGUGGCAUACGGCUCAGUAACACGUAGUCAACAUGCCCAGGGGACGAGGAUAACCUCGGGAAACUGAGGAUAAACCUCGAUAGGCCAUGAUUUCUGGAAUGAUUCUUGGCUCAAACCUAUAUGGCCCCUGGAUUGGACUGCGGCCGAUCAGGCUGUUGGUGAGGUAAUGGCCCACCAAACCUAUUACCGGUACGGGCUCUGAGAGGAGGAGCCCGGAGAUGGGCACUGAGACAAGGGCCCAGGCCCUAUGGGGCGCAGCAGGCGCGAAACCUCUGCAAUAGGCGAAAGCUUGACAGGGUUACUCUGAGUGAUUUCCGUUAAGGAGAUCUUUUGGCACCUCUAAAAAUGGUGCAGAAUAAGGGGUGGGCAAGUCUGGUGUCAGCCGCCGCGGUAAUACCAGCACCCCGAGUGGUCGGGACGUUUAUUGGGCCUAAAGCAUCCGUAGCCGGUUCUACAAGUCUUCCGUUAAAUCCACCUGCUUAACAGAUGGGCUGCGGAAGAUACUACAGGACUAGGAGGCGGGAGAGGCAAGCGGUACUCGAUGGGUAGGGGUAAAAUCCGUUGAUCCAUUGAAGACCACCAGUGGCGAAGGCGGCUUGCCAGAACGCGCUCGACGGUGAGGGAUGAAAGCUGGGGGAGCAAACCGGAUUAGAUACCCGGGUAGUCCCAGCUGUAAACGAUGCAGACUCGGUGAUGAGUUGGCUUAUUGCUAACUCAGUGCCGCAGGGAAGCCGUUAAGUUUGCCGCCUGGGGAGUACGGUCGCAAGACUGAAACUUAAAGGAAUUGGCGGGGGAGCA
rnacentral:rRNA from 1 species